GACGAACGCUGGCGGCGUGCUUAACACAUGCAAGUCGAACGAUGAAGCCGGAGCUUGCUCUGGUGAAUUAGUGGCGAACGGGUGAGUAACACGUGAGUAACCUGCCCUUGACUCUGGGAUAACUGCGGGAAACUGUAGCUAAUACCGGAUACGACCCUCGGAGGCAUCUCCUGGGGGUGGAAAGAAUUUCGGUCAAGGAUGGACUCGCGGCCUAUCAGCUAGUUGGUGAGGGAAAGGCUGACCAAGGCGACGACGGGUAGCCGGCCUGAGAGGGUGACCGGCCACACUGGGACUGAGAAACGGCCCAGAGUCCUACGGGAGGCAGCAGUGGGGAAUAUUGCACAAGGGGCGCAAGCCUGAUGCAGCAACGCCGCGUGAGGGAUGACGGCCUUCGGGUUGUAAACCUCUUUUAGUAGGGAAGAAGCGAAAGUGACGGUACCUGCAGAAAAAGCACCGGCUAACUACGUGCCAGCCGCCGCGGUAA
rnacentral:rRNA from 1 species